GGACUACCCGGGUUUCUAAUCCUGUUUGCUACCCACGCUUUCGUCUCUCAGCGUCAGUCGCGGUCCAGUAAGCUGUCUACACCACAGGUGUUCCUCCUGAUAUCUACGCAUUUCACCGCUACACCAGGAAUUCCGCUUACCUCUCCCGCACUCGAGCAUUCCAGUUUCCGGCGCACCCUCCCAGUUGAGCCGGGAGAUUUCACACCAGACUUAGAGCACCGCCUACAGACUCUUUACGCCCAGUAAUUCCGAACAACGCUCGCUGCCUACGUAUUACCGCGGCUGCUGGCAC
rnacentral:rRNA from 1 species